CUCUCUCUCUCGCUCGCUCUCUCUCUCUCGCUCUCGCUCUCUCUCUCUCUCCACCUCACCUCACCUCCUUGUAUAGACCCCAAGGUAGAUUUAUUUAUUUUCGUUGUCAUUUUACGCUCGGUUUCUCAUUGGGUAAGACAGGCAGAACUCGAGGCUUCCGUCCAAUCGAGCCAACCCAUUGUAAAUCGAUCCGUCGUAAAUGGAAGCCCUCCCGCACGACGACGCCUGAUUUACGCGGAUUAAUCUACGGGGUUGGUUGACGCGGACGGGAUUACUCUUUUUUUUUUUUUUACGAGUGGGUUUGUGCCCGUGUGUAAAUGUGGCGGAAACUGGAGAGAGGUUUGGGAUGUCUUGUUGUGAAAUACGGGAGUUCCACGAUUUACGAUUUGGUUUACGGUCAGGAUUUUUUCUUUUUUUUUUUUCUCCAGCAACGGUGUAAAUCUUUUCGUAAAUCGGGGAAUGUUUUCGGUAAGGCUUGAUUUGAAUGUAGCCCAACCCAGCCCAGCCUAGCCUAGCCCAGCCCAACCUAACCCUAACCUAACCUCGAGCGUGAGAAGAAAUGACCGGACACGUCGAUACAUUUGUCCUCGAUGUUGACGAAAUUUAUGUAAACACUUGUGGAAAUUUUGCCCCAUUGAAUUAUUAUUAUUAUUAUUAUUAUUAUUAUUAUUAUUAUUAUUAUUAUUAUUAUUAUUGUUAUUGUUUACGUUUUAUCGCACGACAUUCCUGGAAUUGUGGUCUAUUGUUAAUUUGUCGUAUACAGGUACGGUACACAUUCUCUCUCUCUCUCUCUCUCUCUCUCUCUCUCUCUCUCUCUCUCUCUCUCUCUCUCUCUCUCUCUCUCUCUCUCUCUCUCUCUCUCUUUCUCUCUUUACAUAAGGUCACGUAUAAAUUAGUUUCAAAAUGCAAUAUUUCCAUUUCUGACAAAGGUACUUUCUCUGACAGUGACAGCUACUGACUCAAAUACUUGUACUGACACACAAGUACUUUCUCUGAUAGGUACUGACAAAGGUACUUUCUCUGAUGGGUAAUGACAAAGGUACUUUCCCUGAUAGGUACUGACACACACAGGUACUUUCCCUGACAGGUACUGACACACAUGUACCUUCUUUUGACACAGGUACUGACAGGGGUACUUUCUCUGACAGGUACUGACAGGGGUACUUUCUCUGACAGGUACUGACAAAGGUACUUUCUCUGACAGGUACUGACAGGGGUACUGUCUCUGACAGGUACUGACAGGGGUACUGUCUCUGACAGGUACUGACAGGGGUACUGUCUCUGACAGGUACUGACAGGGGUACUGUCUCUGACAGGUACUGACAGGGGUACUGUCUCUGACAGGUACUGACAGGGGUACUGUCUCUGACAGGUACUGACAAAGGUACUUUCUCUGACAGGUACUGACUAAGGUAUUUUUUGUGACAGGUACUGACGAAGGUACUGUCUCUAACACAGGCUCUGAUACACAAGUACUUUCCUCUGACAGUUACUGUAGUCCUCUGGGUCAAUGUGUCACUCUGUUUUACACUUUUAUCAUUAGUUACGUAAACAAAGCUUAAUAUCAUGUCAUUAGUUACGUAAACCAAGCUUAAUAUCAUGUCAUUAGUUACAUAAACAAAGCUUAAUAUCAUGUCAUUAAUUACAUAAGUUGUUUAGCACCUUUGUUAUUGUUUAUUUAUUACUGCAGUGGAACCUCGAUAUAAUGGACUUUUUUGUUUAUUCCGUUAAAUGGGGGUUUUCACAUCUAACGGAAUCUCGAUAUGAUGGACUUUCAUCUCUAUAUAUUUCGUUAAAUGGGGGUUUCACAUCUAACGAACCCUCGAUAUAACGAACUCGUCUCUAUAUAGUUCGUUAAAUGAGGGUUUCACAUCUAACGAACCCUCGAUAUAACGAACUCGUCUCUAUAUAGUUCGUUAAAUGGGGGUUUUACUGUAGAACAAUUUCUCAAUAUAUUUUUCCAUGUUAUUUCUGUAAGUAACUUAUAAAUUUCCUUAAGUAACUUAUUUCCAUGUGUAAUUUAUUUCUCACAAGUUACUUAAAUCCAUAGGUAGGUCAUUUAAGUGAUAUUGCCAUAAGUGACAGUUUUUGUAAGUGAUAUUUCCUGUAAGUAGCUUAUUUAAGUAACUUAUAAAAUAAUUUGUUAUGACCUUUUCAUUUAAGUACUUUCACACUCAAUAUAAUGGUCGAUCUUACUACA